rnacentral:rRNA from 1 species
CAAACAGGAUUAGAUACCCUGGUAGUCCAUGCCGUAAACGAUGUCUACUAGCCGUUGGGGCCUUUGAGGCUUUAGUGGCGCAGCUAACGCGAUAAGUAGACCGCCUGGGGAGUACGGUCGCAAGACUAAAACUCAAAUGAAUUGACGGGGGCCCGCACAAGCGGUGGAGCAUGUGGUUUAAUUCGAUGCAACGCGAAGAACCUUACCUGGCCUUGACAUACUAGAAACUUUCCAGAGAUGGAUUGGUGCCUUCGGGAAUCUAGAUACAGGUGCUGCAUGGCUGUCGUCAGCUCGUGUCGUGAGAUGUUGGGUUAAGUCCCGCAACGAGCGCAACCCUUUUCCUUACUUGCC